rnacentral:lncRNA from 1 species
AAUGUGUCCUGACUUCUUGCUUAGCAAAAUUGGAUCACCCUGACUAAGGUAUAAUCCAUCCAGCAUAUUUCCAGUGACCCAACAGGGGCUCUGAUGAUAGUAACUGGCUCUGAAUUGCUGCUUCUGCUCAACUUCCUGGAUGCUAGCGGUACCCAGGGAUGUAAAGACCUUUCAACUAGAGCUCAUAAGCAGGCCCUUGUGUCUGAGAAUGACUGCUUCUGUGAUCUGAUGAGCACACGUGGUGUGCAUCCAGUGGCUCUGCUCUUAAACUAGGCCCAUGACUACCAACAGUCAUUCUUCCUGGGCUGCUGAGACCAGAAAAUAAAAGUGCCUUCCAAGUUGCUAUUGAACUCUGUUCAGAGCUCCAGAUGUCCUGUGCUGGCACUGGGCAGGGUGCUCUCCUGGGCCAUUUCAUCAGCUCAGAGGCCUCACCUUCCACCAUAUGCUGAAGACCUCAAAUCUACAUCACAGUGAGACCUCCCCUGAGGUCUAGGCUAUUAAGUUGUAAGAUCUAUAAAAGCUUUCAUCACCUCACUUCCCUACUGGCCUUUACUCACCCUUCAGAAUGAUAAUUGUGUUAGUCAUUGAAAGAUGUGGCUGG